rnacentral:rRNA from 1 species
GGUUAUUGAGUGCUUAUUGCACCACAUGUGUUUUUCUUUGAAACAAACUUGCUUUGGCGGUGGGCCCAGCCUGCCGCCAGAGGUCUAAACUUACAACCAAUUUUUUAUCAACUUGUCACACCAGAUUAUUACUAAUAGUCAAAACUUUCAACAACGGAUCUCUUGGUUCUCGCAUCGAUGAAGAACGCAGCGAAAUGCGAUACGUAAUAUGAAUUGCAGAUAUUCGUGAAUCAUCGAAUCUUUGAACGCACAUUGCGCCCUCUGGUAUUCCGGAGGGCAUGCCUGUUUGAGCGUCGUUUCUCCCUCAAACCGCUGGGUUUGGUGUUGAGCAAUACGACUUGGGUUUGCUUGAAAGACGGUAGUGGUAAGGCGGGAUCGCUUUGACAAUGGCUUAGGUCUAACCAAAAACAUUGCUUGCGGCGGUAACGUCUACCACGUAUAUCUUCAAACUUUGACCUCAAAUCAGGUAGGACUACCCGCUGAACUUAAGCAUAUCAAUAAGCGGAGGAA